rnacentral:rRNA from 1 species
UCUAGUGACGAUAGCGGAGAGGACACACCCGUUCCCAUCCCGAACACGGAAGUUAAGCUCUCCAGCGCCGAUGGUAGUUGGGGUUAGCGCCCCUGCAAGAGUAGGACGUUGCUAGGC